ACACACACACACACACACACACACACACACACACCCCCCAUGAGGGACACAGUCCUAUCAACACACAAGGCACCUUUAUUGCCGUCCUCAGCACCUGGCCCAGUUGCGGCUGUGCCCUUUUUGACUGUCCAUCUAGAACACCAACCCUACAAGGGCAGAGGACCAGGUGCACCUCGGCUCACACCCCAUGGAUGCUCGGCUUGAGCCCAGUGCCUGGCACGCAAGAGCACCAUGCACACUUGGUGAAAUAACUGAAUGAGUACACAUUCAGCAGGUAGAAGCAAAGAAAAGAGAGACCAUCUAUGGUGGUGGGAAAGUGGGGGCUGAUGCAGGAGAUGUAUUUUUAAGGGGAAUGCCCACCAUUCACUUACUCUUAACAAUUCGAAUGCAUAACACUGCCCCAUGUGCAUAGGAAAAAGAUCCCGUUACUGCCCAUGAUAGAACCCGUUAUGUGCCUGCUUUGUAAGGACUCUAAAUACUCCUCUGUAAUUCAAGGUAAAAAUGGAAAGUCAACACGAGUGUCUGGAACCAAGUCAAUGUGAACAGGGGGUCAGAGGAACGUGCACAAGGCCUGAAGCUAGACUGGCUCACGCAUGAGAAAGAGAUUCCGUUGAUCCUGAAGGCAGUGGCGAGCUGCUUUUCAACAGGAGAGUGAAGUGCUCAGACUGGGGGACAGCUCUGACCCCAAAUCAUCAUCCAUUUAUUCAUGAGGCAGAAACAGAAUAUUAGUCUCUGCACGGUUUCCUGGGCCAGCUUCCGGUUGGUAAGUAUCCUGAACAGGGCGCAGGAGGGCUGUUCUCGCGAUGGCCCUGAAGAAGAGCCUGCCCACGGUGUCUCUGUUACUGAAACCGAAGUCGAAGCUGGAGUUAUGCUGAGUGUAGGAUGUGAAAACAUGGAUCUUAGCCUUGAUUAGAAAGUCCUAAAACACCAACUAACUCGGAACCAAAACCAGAACAAACAGUUCUCUUUUGCUGAAGUAUCUGUGUGUGUGUGUGUGUGUUUUCCUGGAACCUGGAACCAAACUAAAGUUAUUUGAUUUGGUGA